UAAGUAACCAGUGAAAUGUAGAGUAAUUUUAGAAAUGGUUUAGAAAGUACUUUUCAGUUUUGGAGCCUUCUAGUAACAGUAGUAGGUUUUUUUCCCCCUUUUCCCACCAAAAGUCUCAUAGUGCUGACUAAAAGGAGGCAUAAGUUUUUGAGGGAAGACUAACUUAAGAAGUAACUCACUGAAGAAAACAUUAAAAGGUAAACUGUGGCAUAUAAAAUUUUAAGGUAUUUGUUUGAGUGAACAGCAAUUCAUGAGUUGUACAGCUCCAGGCCAGAAGUAGUUUGGAGGUCCUGUUGAGAGAACGCACUCAAAUUUCUACACGUUUGUAGACACUAAGCCAAAACCCAAAUCAACUCUUUAUCUGAAAUAAAAGAUUGUUGCUUAAUUCAUUUAUUUUCAAAGGAAAAAUAAAAAUGAAAAAUUAAAUAAAUUCUCAUAAUAAUUUCAUUUAGAAAUAGUAUUAUUAUUUUUCUUAACAAAGUACCCUUUAAAAAAAAACUCAAAAGACUUGCCAAUACUAGCCAAUCAAAUCCUUCCUUCAAUUUUAGAAAACAGGAAUUGCAUGUAAACAAGUCUGGGCCAACUCUUACAACCUGCUUUCUAUAUCCUCCUCCUCUGUUCUCCAUCUUUCCUAGUUCUUUGAGCCCCAGUGGUCAGGCUGAGCUGAGUAUGAGAGAGGGCCCUCAAGAGGCCCUGGAAGCAUAUUCCCUCAGCUCCUAAAUGAAGUCUCCAUAAGGUGACCCUAGGAGACUGUGCAGCGUGACUGGCCGCUUGUUUUAUCCCAGACUCUUUUCCAGGGUCUUACUUCUGUCAUCCAGACUGGAGUGCAGCAGUGCGAUCUCAGCUCACUGCAACCUCCACCUCCCAGGUUUAAGCGACUCUCCUGCCUCAGCCUCCACAAUAACUGGGACCACAGUUGUUUAGUUUAUGUGAUGAAUCACGUUUAUUGAUUUGGUUAUGUUGAAGCAACCUGGCAUCCUGGGGAUGAAGCCAACUUAAUCUCAGACCAAACCUUCUUAAGCAACUUCAGCAAAGUCUCAGAGUACAAAAUCGGUGUGCAAAAAUCACCAACAACAGGCAAGCCGAAAGUCAAAUCAUGAAUGAAUUUCCAUUCACAGUUGCUGC
rnacentral:lncRNA from 1 species